GAGAGUAUAGCUCAGUGGUAGAGCCCAUGCUUAGCAUGCACAGGUUCUGGGUUCAAUCCCCAGUACCUCCA
rnacentral:tRNA from 1 species